AAACGCUCAGUUGCGGCUUGGACAUUGACCAAUACGGACGUGUUUUUAAAGCGCUCUGAAAAAAGUUUUGACUUUUAAAUUUUUUUUACUACGACAGAAUCUUAGUUGACUGAUGGUCUUUGACAAAGACAGACUUGUUUUUGUGAGCUCUGAAAAAAAUUUGACUUUGAAAUAUUUUUACGAUUAAAAAGUUUCAGUUGACUUUUGAACGUUGACGAAGACGGACGUACUUUCGUGAGCUCUGACUAUUGAUGAAAAGUUUUCGCGUUAUAGAAUAGCGACUUGGUACUCAGGUUGUUGAAUGACUGGAUGACUGAAGUGUUAGGUUAUUGUUAUGAGAUAACAACUUGACUUUGACUUGAGUUGUGAAAUGAAAUCAUACUCUUAUGCGAUGUUAACUUUUGAACGUUUAGUAUUGACUGACAACGAACUUUUGUGAGCGUUAUAUAUGAAAUGUUUGACUUACAUUAAUUUUUUUGAACGACUUGACUUCACUUUAAGUUUUGACAUCGGACUGAUCGGACGUGUUUUUUUAAGCUCUGACUGUUGUGAAUAAUUAAAUUUAUGUUGUGGUGUCAAGCGAUUGACUGUCAGUUGAGGUUCAGAUGUCGAGCUGUGCGGACGUGUUCAUCGAGCUGCUGUCUACAAAAAACUGGGCUGUGGUGAGUAUUGCAGAUUUAACUUGUAUGUGUGGUUUUUAGUUAACGAUGCUUAAUGAAAACUGUUAUUGUACACUUAGUAUGGAAUGAUGUGAAUGAUGAUAUGAUGGGUAGAAUUAAUCAGUGCUUGUGUCUAGAAAUGCUGAAUGUUUAUUGAAAAGGCUAAAUGCUAGCCAGUACUAAGAGUUGAGCUACCGUGGGAAUGUGAAACGAACUGAUGGUGUAAUAUGAUGGUGUAUUGACAUACUUUUCUUAUAUGUACUAAAUAUGAUAUUGCUUUACUUGUAUUUGCAUGCUGUUAACAUUUCUAUUUUGUUCCAGUGUGCUGUGGUGAGUACUGUAGAUAUUACUUGAUUUUUAGUGUCUAUGAAUGCUGAUGUAUGAUAGCUAUAGCAUGAGCUCAAUGCUAACCAGUAUUAUGAGUUGAUGUAUUGUGGUGAUGCUAAUCGAACUGAUGAUGUAACAUGAUGGUGAACACUUACUGAAUGCAUAAAAUUUAUUGAAUUGCAUUUGUUGAUAUGCACUAUAAUAUGAUAAAUGUAUUGCUUUACAUGUAUAUUUCAUGAUGUUUAAUUUCAGUGGGCUGUGGUGAGUACUGUAGAUUGUAUUGCCUAUGUAUAGAAUUCAAUAAAAGAUUAUGACUGAAAACUGCUUUUGAUUCUUUUUGAACAGUUUUAGGGACUAUAAGUCUAUAACAAAAAUAUGUCGGUUGGCGUUCAUACAGCAAUGUUUUGAGUAGUACAGAAAUGUUUCUACGUUUGUGGUCGCCAGUUGUCUGUGAUGUGUAAAGUGAAAAAUACACGGAGCUUUGAAUACAACAAACAGUUACUGUUUUAACACAGAUUGUGUGCUAUGCAUUUUUCGAUGUAGAUCUUUUUCAGAUUUGACAUGAAAUGUAGACCUGACAUUUGAACAGAGCUGGGAAACGAAAAGGUAAGUUUGUUAAAUUUCACAAUGAACACUUGUGUUUUGACAAAAGAAGAGAUAAAGUGAGUUUUGUCAUCAUCAUGGUUUCUUUCAGAGUAUAACUCGUGAACAGAUGAAAACCUAUUUUUUGCUAGAUUUUCAUGUACUCUUUUUUUGGAUGAUAAGUAUGUCAGUAACUCAAAAUCAUACGGCUAGUACAGUAUGGAACAUGAAUGCUUUGUUCAGAUUUUCAGAUGUGUGCUGGCAGUUCAAGUCUGGCAGCUGAAGUGAACAGUCGUGUUUUCUGGAGCUCCAACAAUAUGCUAGAAGGUAAGUAACUAUGUUUGUUUUGCAUUGCAUGUUUUUAUAUGUUUCAGACUUUCAAGCAGAGAUGUCAUGCUGACUGGAGUUGAGCACAGGGCAGUGACAAAGUGAAAGUAUAAGUACUUUUGACUGAAUGUUUGUUCUAUGCAUGUUUUGUUUUAAUACAUUUCAGGAGUGCUUAUCCAGUGAUGAUAUGACAGUUGGAGUGAACAGUGGAGCCAAGCAGUCUUGUUUUUAGAGCUACUCAACAAGCCUUGAAGGUAAGUUUAGAAUUUCUCAAUGUUAGUGAAUUGAAGUACUGUCACUUGCUUUUGGACAGUCGAACAGAACAGACGUGGUUGCGAGAGCUCUCAUAUCUGUUGUGUUAAACUGUUUUUAUGAUAUGUUAUGUUUGUUUGUUUGUUUGUGAUGUACUAUUUUUCAGAUGCUGAUGGCAGUGAUGGGUUUUCAAGCUGACCUGAACAGAAAAGCACUCAUAUGGUAAGUACAAAAUAGUUGUUAUAUGGGAUGUUUUGUGCAUGCUUUUAUGUUUCAGGUGUACUUGCUGACAGCGACGAAGACGAAUCAAGAAGAGGAACAUUGUUGAGAAAGUGAUUGGGACUUGCAAACAGGGUAAGUGUAACACUUGUGUUUGUUUAAUUUGUAACAUGCGUGCUUUGCUCUGUUUCAGAUUUCACAUGCAGAAAUUAAACAGGAUUUCAACUGCUGAGACACAAUUCAUCAAAAGUAAGGUAAGUUUUAAUUCAUUGAUUUGAGUUGUACAAUGUGUUCUUUACUUUAUUUCAGAUUCGAGUCACUGGUUUACACAUGGAAGAAGAUUUCCACGUCUGUUACUCAACUCUACAGAAGCAAGGUAAGUCGAUCAAAUUUUUGUUUUCAUUGACUGCUGUAAUGUGAUGUUAUGCUAUUUUUCAUGUGUGCUAUGCAGAGAUGGAGAAUUCAAUUUUAAGAAAGAUUAACUGCUGCAGCUUAGCUCUGCUCUGUGUUGAUUUUUGUUCAAAAACGUUUAAAAUGUAUGUGUGUUUUCAGAUGUUUUGUUUCAGUUGAUGUCCAGAUGGCAAGCAGUACAGACGUGUUUCUUGGAGCUGCCAAACAGUGAGUACAAACGUUUUAUAUUUUUCAGUUGUUUACUCAUAGAAGUCUGUGAAAGAUGAUAACAAGGGUUGAAUUGCACAGUACUUGUGUCUAAAAAUGCUGAUGUGUGACGGUUUACUGAAAAGGGUAAAUGCUAGCCAGUAACACUUGAGCAACCGUGGGAUGUCGAACUAACUGAUGAUGUACUAUGAUGGUGAACACUUACUAUGUGUAUCGAAAUGCUUUUGUUGUUAUUUAUUAUAGACGAUUUGAUAUUGGUUAACAUUUGUUUGCAUGCUGUUAACAUUUCUAUUUCAUUUCAGUUGGCUGUGGUGAGUAUUGUAGUAUACAUUUGUUUCAAUAAAUCAUGAUGAAUGAAAACUGAUUUCGAUUCUUUUUUACAGUUUUAGGGAUUAUCACUCUAUAACAACUCUGUCGGUUGGUAUUCAUGAGUGUGAGCUUAAUACAGCAAUGUUUGAGUAAUACAAAAAAUGUAUGUACUCUUUUGUGGUCGCCAGUUGUCUGUGAUAUGUAUAGUAAAAAAAACACAACACAAAGCUAUGAAGCAUACAAUUGUUUCAAGGUUUUAUCAAUAAUUGUGUACUGUGCAUGUUUUGAUUUAGUUCGUUUCAGAUAUGACAUGACCUGAAUAUUUGACAGUCGAACAGAGCUGAGCAUUGCAGAAAGGUAAGUGUUUUGUUUGAUAUUUACCAUGCAUACUUUGCUUUGCUCUGUUUCAGAUUCACAUGCAGAAAAGGUCUCAUAGUAGCCUCAACUGUGAAUAAGGAUAUCAACUGCUGUGACUAAACUGUUGAAGAAGGGUAAGUGGAACAAUGUGUUUGUUUUAUAAGUACCAUGUAUGCUUUAUUUUGCUCUGUUUCAGAGUAGACAUACAAACAGUGUCUUGCUUUGCAUGCUAUUUUUCAGGUCUCUCAUGCAGUGAGGGAAAAGAAAAAGAUUUCAAUAAAGAAUCACUGCUGCAACUCAGCUCUUUAAACAAGGUAAGUGUUUACUAUGUUGUAUACAAAAUGUUUCUCUUUCUUACUAUGUUUCAGGUUAACAUUGCAGAGAUGUUUUGACAGCUUGUGACAGAAAAGAAAUUCAGCAGCUGUGUCUUGACUGUAGCCACAAGGUAAGUCGAAACAAAUAUACUGGUUUGUAUGUUGUGUUGUUAUGCCCUUCUAUGUUUCAGACUUACAUUGCUGUGACUGUUCCACAGUGGGUCAAAAAAGAGACGAAUACAGGUUUCAAGAAGAAAAUUGGCUGUUAAAACUCUGCACAAAAUAUGAGGUAAGUGAACUACUCUUUUGGUUUGUGUUGUGCUUUGUUCUGCUUAACUAUUUUUCAGAUUUGAGUGGUGGGUCGUUACAGAGCAGACUUUUUGACAAGUGAGAAAUUGAGAAACAGAGAAUGAUUCAAGAUCAGCUAGGUAAGUCUUGAUUAUUAUGCAUUGCUAAAUGUUGUUUUCAUUCCAGUAUGGCUGUGGUAAGUACACAAACUUUCUAUAAUUUAAUAUUGAACUGUUUUUAUGACCUGUAUUCUGCAUUGUAAAAUGUCUGUUUUUCAUUUCAGUAUCCUGUGGUAAGUACAAUUGCCUUCUUUAAUUUUCAUAUUGAACUGUUUUGAUGACUUGUAUACUACUAUGCAAUGCUUAAUGUUUUUUUCAUUUCAGUAGCCUGUUGGUAAGUACACUAACUUUCUAUAAUUUCAUAGUGAAUUGUUUUGAUGACCUGUAUUCUGCAUUGUAAAAUGUGUUUCUUUUUCAUUUCAGUAUGGCUGUGGUAAGUACAAUUGCCUUUCAUAUUGAACUGUUUUGAUGACCUGUAUUUUGCAUUGUAAAAUGUGUUUCUUUUUCAUUUCAGUAUGGCUGUGGUAAGUACACAAACUUUCUUUAAUUUUCAUAUUGAACUGUUUUGAUGACUUGUAUUCUGCUAUACAAAAUGUGCUUUUUUCAAUUUCAGGUCAGCAAUGGUAAGUAUAGUGUGUUUUUUUAUGUAUAAUUUUGUAUACAUAUUGUUUUUUUCAUCAUAGCAUGUCUUUUAUAUUUAUGCUUUGUGUAAGUAAAAUGUUCAUUAAAUCAUUCUUAUCUUCAAACUAAAAAUGUAUUGUGCUAUGCAAAAUGUCUGUAUGAUUUCAGUUGCCAGAGGUGAGUACCAUUACAGUUGAAAAGUUAGUUUUGUUUAGUUAAAGUUUUGGUUCACAGUUCUGUUUGUUAUUUGGCAAAAUUUACAUGUAUGCAUUGAGUCUUGAUUUCAGCUCGAUUGUGGACUGAAGAAGAUUGCCCGCAGAGGGAUUGGAUACAAAAUACAAACUUUACUGCUAGACGAGUGUUCUCUACUACUUGACGAGUCAGCUUUACUACCAGGCGAGCAGUGACAACAAGGCGCCUUUGUGGAAACAACACAACAAAAAACUGUACUGCUAGACGAGCAGUGACAGAAAGGCGCCUGAACAUGCAACACAAAACAAAAAAUGCCAAUAUACAAACCUUGAUGUGAACACCGAGUAGUCAAUGCAUACGUGUGGCGUACAGCUGCGACAAAACCGUGGGUCCAUCGCACCGAUAACUCGAACAUUGGCCCGCGUAUGGACAUCAGUGCAACUUUGUGAAUCCAUGUAUCUUUGUGAAUCCAUGUAACAUUGCGAAUGUGUGUCGAUCGAAAAAUGUGUACAUUCUGAACUGAAACGAACUCGGUGUUGCAAGUGGCAAGUGUUGACAGUGUGUAUGUUUAUGUUUAUGUUUUUACAUGAAAACUAAAGGAGAUUGUUCUCCUACCUUUUUUUCCUUGUUUUAUUGCGCUGGCCAGCAAUAUUGAUGUAUUGAUGUAUGUGUUUGUGUUUAAACUAUGCAAUACCAAAAUCAAACAAAAAAUAAACAUUAACAGUCAUUAACUGUGUUUGGGCGGCCGAGGGGUUUAAGACUCCACAAGUGUGAAGCGCACUGAUAGCACUUGGGGGUGAACACCUCGGUAUUUCGGUGCUAAAAUGUUUUCACGGUGCUUAUCUUGACGCACUGUUAAGACUACCAACCAGUUAAUGAUUGCUUCAUCUUUAAACAAAAAGUAAGUCUCUACUUUGGCACAAGAGACUCCAAGUACCAAAUACCAACAAUUAAAAAGCAGACGUUUUUCAAAACUAUGAUCGCUGAGAUUGAUAGUCAGAUGGAGUCCUGCCCAGUUAGCUGUGUAGCGGUCUAGGGCGGGGUUGCAAGUCAAUACGAAAUGAGGCGCUAUAAAGCAACUCGUCCCCGUUAUGACCGUCAAUACUUUCGACACUAUCUGGGAAUCCUUUCAACACCACAUUGUUGCGCUGUUGGAAGGGUGGUAGGCACGCAUGGUGACAUGCCUGUGCUUUGCUAUGCGACACCAUGGUAUUUUCGUACGGUGACACGAAAUAUCUUAAUCUGGCUCUCUCAGAAACGCAGGCACGCGUUGACCGAACCUGACCGAUGACCGAGCAAUAACAUUUCUAUUAAGUGCUUCAAUGCACAAAGUCUGCUAGGGCUGGGGUGGGAA